rnacentral:lncRNA from 1 species
UGUGGGGCCCCGCCCAGUUUCUUGGCACAUCCUGACAACACUGCCAGCAUUAUGUUCCAAGAGCUUCCAAGGAAUAUCUUUCAAAAAGGCAAAGAUACAUUUUUCACACUGGCACUUACAUCUAUUAGGUAACUAAUCAGCAAUGACGGCAGUAGGUACUGUCUCUAACUACCUACACACCAUGUCACCCCUGAAGAAAGGCAAAAGUCAGGAAAGAAUUACUCUGACCUAAGAAGAAGUGAAGACCUGACCCUGACCAUACAUUCGUCACCCUUCCUGUCCUCCACUUGGUUGGAGUUUUCAGUGAAACAGUAGAGGAAGUAGAAAACAACAGCCAGGGUGUAAAAGGAAGAGUCAGAAAGGAAGAAUCUGCCUGACCUCCGCCUGCCUGCCCUCCAAGGCCCAUGUGAACCAUGUCUGCACAUUUCUUGGACGC